AAAUUUGAAGGACAUGCGAAUGAUAUGUGUGUGGAAGAACUACUGGAAGACAUUCCUUUCAGAAGUCCCUCAUGAUAGGGAAUCCCAGGGCUGGAAAACAUCAUUCAAGUGGGCAAUCAAAUUACAUUUGUUGUUAAAAGCCACCCUGAGUGAAUCCCAGCAUUGCCCUACAUAAAAUAUAUCCUUAAUGGUAUUUCCUAUUUGAUGUCUGACCCCCCUCCUCCUUCACUAAAAGAUGGAAAUGUGUCAUGUACCAGCUAUUCAUCCAAUGACUGCUCCUCAGUUCCAAAUUCACUGUUGAUUGCCUGCUCUGCAAACGUAGAGGAAGUGACCUCAUAAUGUUUCAAGCUAUCACUUCCUGUUGAUUGUGAUGAAAUGCCAGCUGAGACACAUGCCUUAGGAGCUAAGUGGCUUCUGUACUUGACCACUAUGAAGACUGCUGUGGAGAGGGUCCUUUUGGAUGCAGUGGAGCAGGGGCACCUAAUCCCUGAAUCACAGGCCGGUACUUGGCCACACAGCAAGAGGUGAGCAGCAGGUGGGCGAGCAAAGCUUCAUCUGUAUCUAUGGCCACUCCCCUCUUUGCCGCCUGAUCUCCACCUCAUGUCAGGUCAGUGGCAGCAUUAGAUUCUCAUAGGAGCAGGAACCCUAUUGUGUAACUGUGCAUGCAAGGGUUCUACCUUGCUGUGUCUUUAUGAGAAUCUGAUGCCUGAUAAUCUGUCACUAUCUUUCAUCACCCCCAGAUGGGACCAUCUAGUUGCAGGAAAACAAACAAGUUCAGGACUCCCACUGAUUGUACAUUAUGGGUUGAUAAUAUUGAAAAUCAAACACAAACCUAAAUGUGUGAAUUGCUGAAUUACAGUGACAGUUGAAUUCACUGCAUCACCAAGGUUCUCAUGAGAACAUUGGGCACUAAUAGGUGAAGAAUGGGAUUCUUUUUCUUUUUGAGACCGUCUCCCUCUGUUGCCCAGGCUGGAGCACAGCGAUGUGAUCUUGGCUCACUGCAGUCUCAACCUCCCGGGCUUAAGCUAUCCUCCUGCCUCAGCCUCUGGGGUAGCUGAGGUAUGAUCACAGCCUCAGGCGAGGUGUCUCACCCCAUUCUCUAUGAUGCGACAAGAAGCCCCUUGGGAGCAUUUCAGGCCCACUCUGUACUUCUGUCAUUGUGCUCCUCACAGUCUGGUUGCCUGAUCUGCUGAGACCUGUGUUUGCUCUCCCUGCAGAUGGGUGGAAGCACCUAAGCUGAAGAGUCCCUUGAGAACAAGUACUAUCCUGUGGUUUCAUAAACUUUCUUCCAUUUGUGGUUCUUGACAAGUUAAAUUUAAAGUGCAUCUUAUCAAGAUGGAUAAACCCAAGUUUUCCAGAGCUGGAAUAUAGAAAAUGGAUGGACAUAUAAGUCCCACUCAUCCAUAGCCAAGGCAUGGAGACCUGAACACACCUGGGCCCUGGACAUCACCUUUCAUUCUGGAUCUACCAUGAAAGAUAUCAGAGUUCAGGAGGAGACUGGGCAUCAUGUUAUUCAGGAGAGACGGGGUUUCACCAUGUUGACCAGGAUGGUCUCGAUCUCCUGACCUCGUGAUCCAACUGCCUCAGGUCAGGCUCUUCAGGCCCACCUUGAGCCUUCCGAUGACCUGGACAGGCCCAGCUCUUUCCUCCCAGUGGCCUCUGCAGGCCUAGCUUUUGCCUCGCAGUGUCUCCAGGCCCAGAACUUCCUUUUGAUGUGCAGCUCUUCCUCCCAGUUGCAUCUCCAGGACCAACUCCUGCCUGACACCCUUCUAUGGAUCAGCUUUUAUACAGCUCUUGGUGGCCUUUGUAGGCCAAACACUUUCUCAACUCAAGGUCCCCAGCAGAAACUUCUGAGGAACAAUGGCUUAAACAGGCAUAGCUACUGGAUGACAAUAGACUCUCCAGGACCAACUCUUACCUCAUGAAGAUUUCCCUGGCAAAGCUCUUGCCGGCCUCCCAGCAGCCUUGAGAGGCCCAGCUGCUGCCUGACACUGACUUCAUUAGGCCAAGCUCCUACCCACUAGGUGUUCUCUCCAGGCUCAAAACUUCCUCAUGUCGGCCCCUUCUGGGCCAGCUCCUGUCUCCCAAUGGCCCCCUUGGACCCUGUCGGCCUCUCCAGGAGACCCAGCCUCUGAUCACUCCUGGCAGCAUCCUCAGGCUUGGCUCCUACUCCUGGCCAUAUCUAUAGGCUCAUGUCCUGCUUCCCGACAGCCUCGUUUGACUCGGCUCCUGACCAGCUCCCGGUGGCCUGAACAGGCCGAGCUACCACCUGACAAUAUCCUCUCCGGGGCCAGAUCUGGCAUCCCUGCAGCCUCCUUAUGACGAGCUGCUACCUGCCAACGGCUUCCCCAGGCCAAGAUCCUGACUGCCUUCCUGCCGUCCUGCCUGCAUCCUGCCUCCACAGGCCCACUACCUCCCUCACAGUGGCCAUUGGGGCCCAGCCCGUGCCUGUGGCAAACCUCUCCGGACCCAGCUCUCACCUCACGCUGGCCUCGGUCUAGGCCCACGUCCUCCCUCGCAGUGGCCUUCCUCAGCCCAGCUCACCUAUCAUCGUCCCUCCCAGGCCAGCUCCUGACUUGGCAGCCUGUCCAGGCCCGAAGGUUCCUCUCCAGGCCCGGCCCCCGUAGGCCCGGCAUCUGCCUGCACCAGGCCCCUCCGGGCCCAGACUCCACCUUUCAGUGGACCCUCCAGGCCCAGCUCAUGGCAUCACCGUGGCCUCUGCUCAGGCUCAGCUCCUGCCUCUGUGACAGCCUGUAUCCACAGGCCCCACCCCCAGCCUCCCCAUGGCCCCAUCGGGUCAAGCCGGUGCAUCCUGGUGGUCCUCCUGAGGCCAGCAUUGGCCUGCUGACUUCCUCUCUGGGCCUGGGAUGUCUUCAGGUAGGCCUCUCAGGGCCCAGCUCCACCUCUCGGCGGCUAUGGGCCCAACUUCCAAAUUUGCCUCGCAACAACCUCUGUGGACUCGACUCCUGUCCAGCUCCCGACAGCCUUUGUAGGCCCGAAAGCUCAGACUUGACUCAGGCUCUCCAGGCCCAGCUGGCUCAUGCCUCACGAGUGGCCUCCCCAGGCUCGGCUAGUGCCCUCCGAGGGCAUCU